AUUUCUGUGGUGAUCAGCGAGACACUUCAUAAAAACUUAGAAACUCGACUCAGAAUUCGACUUGGUAGCUCCAUAUCUUGAAAGAGACAACAACCUGUGAAACAAAAUGAUGAAAAUUGUGGUCGCUGUCUUUUUGUUAUUUUUAAUUGGGAAGGAAGUGAUGUCGCAAGAUUGCAACGCAAAAAAUGACCCGUGUGGCAACGCUAAACCGUGUUGUGCCGGUGCAGGAGUGUGCAAAGAUCAAGACAUUGGCGUUCCAUUAUGUCAAUGUACAAUUGACGGCUAUUGGCAAACGUGCACAUCGGAUGCCGAAUGCUGUGCAGGCCAUUGCAAUAGUCGUGGCUACUGCGGUUGCAUUCUGUCUGGUAAUUGGUGCACCGAAGGAAAAUCAGAAGAAUGUUGUGGAAAAGCGAGCAGCAUCGACGGCCAUUUGAUCAAAACUUGUGCAUCCGCAUGGCCACUUCAUCACGAGUGCUACUAGCUUUGAAAUGUAAUGACAAGACGGGCGAAAUGGAGUUUUCUAAUGAUGAAAGAAGUUGUCCGAAGAAAUUGUUUAAAUAAAUUCAGAGACCUGUAGAGGGAGUUCG